rnacentral:rRNA from 1 species
GACGAACGCUGGCGGCGUGCUUAACACAUGCAAGUCGAACGGAAAGGCCCUGCUUUUGUGGGGUGCUCGAGUGGCGAACGGGUGAGUAACACGUGAGUAACCUGCCCUUGACUUUGGGAUAACUUCAGGAAACUGGGGCUAAUACCGGAUAGGAGCUCCUGCUGCAUGGUGGGGGUUGGAAAGUUUCGGCGGUUGGGGAUGGACUCGCGGCUUAUCAGCGUGUUGGUGGGGUAGUGGCUUACCAAGGCUUUGACGGGUAGCCGGCCUGAGAGGGUGACCGGCCACAUUGGGCCUGCGAUACGGCGCAGACUCCUACGGGAGGCGGCAGUGGGGAAUAUUGCACAAUGGCCGGACGCCUGAUGCAACAGCGCUGCGUGCGGGAUGCCGGCCUUCGGGUUGUAAACCGCUUUCGCCUGUGACGAAGCGUGAGUGACGGUAAUGGGUAAAGAAGCACCGGCUAACUACGUG